GAUGAAGAACGCAGCGAAAUGCGAUACGUAAUGUGAAUUGCAGAAUUCAGUGAAUCAUCGAAUCUCUGAACGCAUAUUGCGCUCUCUGGUAUUCCGGAGAGCAUGCUUGUUUGAGUAUCAGUAAACACCUCAACUUCCAUAUCUUUUUUUGAAAUGGGAGUUGGACUUGAGUGAUCCCAACGCUUUUCCUCACCGAAAAGUGGCGGGUUACUUGAAAUGCAGGUGCAGCUGGACUUUUCUCUGAGCUAUAAGCAUAUCUAUUUAGUCUGCCUAAAAAACAGAUUAUUACCUUUGCUGCAGCUAACAUAAAGGAGAUUAGUUCUUGUGCUGACUGAUGCAGGAUUCCCAAAGACAGCUUCGGCCGACUUUGUAAACUCGAUCUCAAAUCAAGUAAGACUACCCGCUGAACUUAAGCAUAUCAAUAAGCGGAGGA
rnacentral:misc_RNA from 1 species